UAAUAAUAAUAAUAAUAAUAAUAAUAAUAAUACUAAACCGCGCUGCAUAUGUCUAGAGCAUUUCUUGCUGUUUAAUUUCGCAUUGACAAUAUACACAGUUUCAGCUUUUAACAUGAUCGACCGUGUGGCAUUCGGGCAUUGACGCCAUCGAGAACAUAUUAUUUUAUUAUGAACUCGUCCUCGGUAGUAUAGUGGUAAGUAUCCCCGCCUGUCACGCGGGAGACCGGGGUUCGAUUCCCCGCCGGGGAGGUUCUUUUUAUCUUGUCAAUGUUUCGUUUCACGUCAGUAGCGUUCGCGGGACUGUCCGGGAAGACAGAUUUACGCCCGGUUAGCUCAGUCGGUAGAGCAUCAGACUUUUAAUCUGAGGGUCGCGGGUUCGAGUCCCUCAUCGGGCGUAACAAUUAUUUGGUACGAUGGUGAACUAACUUUCACCACAAUGUCUUGUCGAAAGAGGAUGAAUAAUGUAACAUUUGCGGAGUGGCAAAGGCGAAGCAAACUUGAUGGGGAACUAGCUCAGAUGGUAGAGCGCUCGCUUAGCAUGCUAGAGGUACCGGGAUCGAUGCCCGGGUUCUCCAAUGCCUUUUCCAUAGGCGUAAAAUAAAUGAAAUUUGCGCAGAGCAAUUUGCAGCAGCGUUCGUGUCAUGUCGGGAUGACCGAGCGGUCUAAGGCGCCAGACUCAAGACAAAAUGUUCUUCCACUUAUCGCGUGGAGAAUUCUGGUCCUCGAAUGAGGGCGUGGGUUUGAAUCCCACUUCCGACAACUUUUCCCUGCCACACAAAAUUUUAGGCCUAAAAUGCAAGUCCACCGAGCCGGAUUUGAAACAGCGACCUAAGGAUGCCUGAGUGGUAUAAGUUGGUCUACAGUCCUCCGCUCUACCAACUGAGCUAUCGGUGGAUGUAGCAUCGUAGAGUUCUUGUGCAGGACUAUGCAGGUCAUGUCACGUUUGUAGUAUGACGUGGUUUUUAAAAUGAUGCGAUGGCUCGCACGUAGCAGAGGGUGGUUUCGAUCCACCGACCUCUGGGUUAUGGGCCCAGCACGCUUCCUCUGCGCCACUCUGCUGAAGGUAGGUAAGCUGAAAUGUGUCUGAUGUAAGGUGUAGUUUAGUAUUGCGAACAGCACUCGAACUAUGACCUUUUUACCAUUUCCAGGGGGAUUAGCUCACAUGGUAGAGCGCUCGCUUUGCAUGCGAGAGUUACCGGGAUCGAUGCCCGGGUUUUCCAAUGCCUUUUCCAUAGGCGUAAAAUAAAUGAAAUUUGCGCAAAACAAUUUGCAGCAGCGUUCGUGUCAUGUCGGGAUGGCCGAGCGGUCUAAGGCGCCAGACUCAAGACAAAAUGUUCUUCCACUCAUCGCGUGGAGAAUUCUGGUCCUCGAAUGAGGGCGUGGGUUCGAAUCCCACUUCCGACAAGUUUUCCCUGCCACACAAAAUUUUAGGCCUAGAAUGCAAGUCCACCGAGCCGGAUUUGAACCAGCGACCUAAGGAUGCCUGAGUGGUAUAAGUUCGUCUACAGUCCUCCGCUCUACCAACUGAGCUAUCGGUGGAUGUAGCGUCGUACAGUUCUUGUGCAGGACUAUGCAGGUCAUGUCACGUUUGUAGUAUGACGUGGUUUUUAAAAUGAUGCGAUAGCUCGCACGUAGCAGAGGGUGGUUUCGAUCCACUGCCCUCUGGGUUAUGGGCCCAGCACGCUUCCUCUGCGCCACUCUGCUGAAGGUAGGUAAGCUGAAAUGUGUCUGAUGUAAGGUGUAGUUUAGUAUUGCGAACAGCACUCGAACUAUGACCUUUUUAACAUUUCCAGGGGGAUUAGCUCACAUGGUAGAGCGCUCGCUUUGCAUGCGAGAGGUACCGGGAUCGAUGCCAGGAUCCUCCAAGACGAUGUUUUCAAUUUAUUUAUUUUUAUACUAAUUUCAGUAGUUGCCAAUGGUCAUAAGAGGAUUUAUGAUGCUCCUAAGAUUACCUGGUAUUAAUAAAAAUAAUAAUAAUAAUAAUACUAAACCGCGCUGCAUAUGUCUAGAGCAUUUCUUGCUGUUUAAUUUCGCAUUGACAAUAUACACAGUUUCAGCUUUUAACAUGAUCGACCGUGUGGCAUUCGGGCAUUGACGCCAUCGCGAACAUAUUAUUUCAAUAUGAACUCGUCCUCGGUAGUAUAGUGGUAAGUAUCCCCGCCUGUCACGCGGGAGACCGGGGUUCGAUUCCCCGCCGGGGAGGUUCUUUUUAUCUUGUCAAUGUUUCGUUUCACGUCAGUAGCGUUCGCGGGACUGUCCGGGAAGACAGAUUUACGCCCGGUUAGCUCAGUCGGUAGAGCAUCAGACUUUUAAUCUGAGGGUCGCGGGCUCGAGUCCCUCAUCGGGCGUAACAAUUAUUUGGUACGAUGGUGAACUAACUUUCACCACAAUGUCUUGUCGAAAGAGGAUGAAUAACGUAACAUUUGCGGAGUGGCAAAGGCGAAGCAAACUUGAUGGGAACUAGCUCAGAUGGUAGAGCGCUCGCUUAGCAUGCUAGAGGUACCGGGAUCGAUGCCCGGGUUCUCCAAUGCCUUUUCCAUAGGCGUAAAAUAAAUGAAAUUUGCGCAGAGCAAUUUGCAGCAGCGUUCGUGUCAUGUCGGGAUGGCCGAGCGGUCUAAGGCGCCAGACUCAAGACAAAAUGCUCUUCCACUCAUCGCGUGGAGAAUUCUGGUCCUCGAAUGAGGGCGUGGGUUCGAAUCCCACUUCCGACAAGUUUUCCCUGCCACACAAAAUUUUAGGCCUAAAAUGCAAGUCCACCGAGCCGGAUUUGAACCAGCGACCUAAGGAUGCCUGAGUGGUAUAAGUUCGUCUACAGUCCUCCGCUCUACCAACUGAGCUAUCGGUGGAUGUAGCGUCGUACAGUUCUUGUGCAGGACUAUGCAGGUCAUGUCACGUUUGUAGUAUGACGUGGUUUUUAAAAUGAUGCGAUAGCUCGCACGUAGCAGAGGGUGGUUUCGAUCCACUGACCUCUGGGUUAUGGGCCCAGCACGCUUCCUCUGCGCCACUCUGCUGAAGGUAGGUAAGCUGAAAUGUGUCUGAUGUAAGGUGUAGUUUAGUAUUGCGAACAGCACUCGAACUAUGACCUUUUUAACAUUUCCAGGGGGAUUAGCUCACAUGGUAGAGCGCUCGCUUUGCAUGCGAGAGGUACCGGGAUCGAUGCCCGGGUUCUCCAAUGCCUUUUCCAUAGGCGUAAAAUAAAUGAAAUUUGCGCAGAGCAAUUUGCAGCAGCGUUCGUGUCAUGUCGGGAUGGCCGAGCGGUCUAAGGCGCCAGACUCAAGACAAAAUGUUCUUUCACUCAUCGCGUGGAGAAUUCUGGUCCUCGAAUGAGGGCGUGGGUUCAAAUCCCACUUCCGACAACUUUUCCCUGCCACACAAAAUUUUAGGCCUAAAAUGCAAGUCCACCGAGCCGGAUUUGAACCAGCGACCUAAGGAUGCCUGAGUGGUAUAAGUUCGUCAACAGUCCUCCGCUCUACCAACUGAGCUAUCGGUGGAUGUAGCAUCGUAGAGUUCUUGAGCAGGACUAUGCAGGUCAUGUAACGUUUGUAGUAUGACGUGGUUUUUAAAAUGAUGCGAUAGCUCGCACGUAGCAGAGGGUGGUUUCGAUCCACCGACCUCUGGGUUAUGGGCCCAGCACGCUUCCUCUGCGCCACUCUGCUGAAGGUAGGUAAGCUGAAAUGUGUCUGAUGUAAGGUGUAGUUUAGUAUUGCGAACGGCACUCGAACUAUGACCUUUUUAACUUUUCCAGGGCUAUUAGCUCACAUGGUAGAGCACUCGUUUUGCAUGCGAGAGGUACCGGGAUCGAUGCCCGGAUCCUCCAAGACGAUGUUUUUAAUUUAUUUAUUUUUAUACUAAUUUCAGUAGUUGCCAAUGGUCAUAAGAGGAUUUAUGAUGCUCCUAAGAUUACCUGGUAUUAAUAAUAAUAAUAAUAAUAAUAAUAAUACUAAACCGCGCUGCAUAUGUCUAGAGCAUUUCUUGCUGUUUAAUUUCGCAUUGACAAUAUACACAGUUUCAGCUUUUAACAUGAUCGACCGUGUGGCAUUCGGGCAUUGACGCCAUCGAGAACAUAUUAUUUAAGUAUGAACUCGUCCUCGGUAGUAUAGUGGUAAGUAUCCCCGCCUGUCACGCGGGAGACCGGGGUUCGAUUCCCCGCCGGGGAGGUUCUUUUUAUCUUGUCAAUGUUUCGUUUCACGUCAGUAGCGUUCGCGGGACUGUCCGGGAAGGCGGAUUUACGCCCGGUUAGCUCAGUCGGUAGAGCAUCAGACUUUUAAUCUGAGGGUCGCGGGUUCGAGUCCCUCAUCGGGCGUAACAAUUAUUUGGUACGAUGGUGAACUAACUUUCACCACAAUGUCUUGUCGAAAGAGGAUGAAUAACGUAACAUUUGCGGAGUGGCAAAGGCGAAGCAAACUUGAUGGGGAACUAGCUCAGAUGGUAGAGCGCUCGCUUAGCAUGCUAGAGGUACCGGGAUCGAUGCCC